UUUCCGUAGGUGAACCUGCGGAAGGAUCAUUAUUGAAUGAAACACUUCUGGCUUUGUGCUGUUGUGCUGGCCCUUUGGGCAAUGUGCACACGGCUCUGGUCACUUGUUUCUUCUGUUCCACUUGUGCACUGCCUGUAGACACGCUGUGUCUAUGAUAUUUGUUAACACACAACAAUGUUAGUUGGCAUGUUAUAUAUAAUAAUAAAAUAUACAACUUUCAACAACGGAUCUCUUGGCUCUC
rnacentral:misc_RNA from 1 species